UACAGAGGUCUCAAGCGUUGUCCGGAUUCAUUGGGCGUAAAGGGCGCGUAGGCUGCGGGGCAAGUCGGGUGUGAAAUCUCAGAGCUCAACUCUGAAACUGCACUCGAUACUGCUUUGCUUGAGGACUGGAGAGGAGAUUGGAAUUCACGGUGUAGCAGUGAAAUGCGUAGAUAUCGUGAGGAAGACCAGUGGCGAAGGCGGAUCUCUGGACAGUUCCUGACGCUGAGGCGCGAAGGCCAGGGGAGCAAACGGG
rnacentral:rRNA from 1 species